rnacentral:tRNA from 1 species
GUAGUAGUGGUUCAGUGGUGGAAUUCUCACCUUCCAUGUGAGAGACCCAGUUUCGAUUCCUGGCCAACACA